CUUCCUGCUUCGAUGAAGGGAAUGACAAACAUGCAGAAGACGACGUUUGUAAAAGCUGAAAAACACAUUGUUCUCUAUGGAAAGAUGUGACGUCAUGAACUUCUGAGGGACCGUCUACAAACUACAUGAUACUUUAAUGACAACCUUCUUUUCAGCUGAAAAUCUCUCCUUGCCUUGAUUUAAAACGUUACACAAUUUAUUUUUAGACCUGAACAAGGAACAAAGAAAAUUCGUUCUGCACUGCCACUGUCCAUGGAGCUGAAAUGUACAUCUACAAUGUAUGACAGCGGUACUGACUUCAACUAGUCUACUGUUUGUUUGUUUGUUUGUUUGUUUGUACAAUGUAUUUGGUUAAUAGGUAAUAGGUUUUUAAUUUUUCUUGUUUUUCCACUUGUUUUUUGUUUGCAUUACAUGUGAUAUAGAGUUGUGAUCAUUAAAAUGAGGUAUGUAACAGUGUUCUCUAAUUAAAGAUUGAACAAACUUAAUACACUGUCUAUCUUUUAUGUUUACCUGUCAUAUACCACUUUAAUGUAACAUUAAACUCUCACAACAUCAUGAUAUA